UAGGGAAUCUUCCGCAAUGGACGCAAGUCUGACGGAGCAACGCCGCGUGAGUGAAGAAGGAUUUCGGUUCGUAAAACUCUGUUGUUAGAGAAGAACAGCGCAUAGAGUAACUGUUAUGCGUGUGACGGUAUCUAACCAGAAAGCCACGGCUAACUACGUGCCAGCAGCCGCGGUAAUACGUAGGUGGCAAGCGUUGUCCGGAUUUAUUGGGCGUAAAGCGAGCGCAGGCGGUCAAUUAAGUCUGAUGUGAAAGCCCCCGGCUCCACCGGGGAGGGUCAUUGGCAACUGGUUUACUUGAGUGCAGAAGAGGUGAGUGGAAUUCUAUGUGUAGCGGUGAAAUGCGUAGAUAUAUGGAGGAACACCAGUGGCGAAGGCGACUCUCUGGUCUGUAACUGACGCUGAGGUUCGAAAGCGUGGGUAGCAAACAGG
rnacentral:rRNA from 1 species